CACUAUACCCCCACUGGGUCAUGGCGUUCCAUGUAUGCCUUGCCUGCUAGCAUCUUGAAUCUAGCGUCUGUUAUGGAUUGUUUCAGGGGCAUCUUUGCACAGUCUGCACCUGGGGUCCUGCCUGGUGUGGUAGAUCCCAGCCUCUACUGGUCCGGUACUCAGAGCCUGCUCCUGUGCUACUAGGAUUAGUGCCUCUGUGCUGUAUUCCAGUCCAGCUUUUUUCAGCCACUGGUAGGAUUUGUCUAUAUCAGCCACUUCUUCUUUCUGCCGGUGGUACAGUAUGUACGGUGUAAGGGGUUGUCCUUCCACGAGGGUUCCUCCUUUUCCUUCUGCUGUCUGAUGUAUUCACUGAGCACAUCAUCUGUUCGGGCAGGGACGUCUCAGGACUUUCCUUACCCUUUGGAGGUACUUAGUGGUUGCUGUUUCCUUGUGGCCUUUUUGUGGUCCCUAUUUAACUGUGGGAGUCCAAGGUGAUGCAGCCGUCUGAGAGGCAGGGUAAACCCUGGACAGGUCGCCAGUCUAUUGCAGGACCACACACAGAGACACCAACCAGAGUAGCUAGUUAACCUAAAACCAUCGGAGGAAGCUGGAGAACCUGGACAGAACCCACCCAAAGCCAAACUCUACGCAGAGAAUGGAAGCCAGGCCCCUUUUGCUGUGAGGCGACAGCACUACCCACUGCACCACCGUGCCACCAUGUCAUUAAACCAUGAUUUUAAUUGAUGGUGUUUUUCAUGAUCUGUUGAUGGACUCAAUGCGUAUUGACACUUGUAAGAAGAAUUGAGAUGAGAACUACAGUAAAUUACUAAACAACACUUCUUCUACACACAAGACCACAAAGGUGACAGUUUU